GGGGGGUUGGGAGUGGUACUGGUUUGUACUGGGAGUGGUACUGGUUUGUACUGGGAGCCAUUACUGAUUUAUACUGGGAGAUCUUACUGGUCUGUACUGGGAACCAUUACGGGUUUGCACUGGGAGUGUUAAUGGUGUGUACUGGGAGCCAUUACUGGUUUAUACUGGGAGCCAUUAUUGGUCUACACUGGGAGCCAUUACUGGUUUAUACUGGGAGCUAUUACUGGUUUAUACUGGGAGCCAUUACGGGUCUGUACUGGGAGUGGUACUGGUGUGUACUGGGAACCAUUACUGGUUUGUACUGGGAGUCAUGACUGGUCUAUAAUGGGAGUCAUUACUGGUUUGUACUGGGAGCUCUUACUGGUCUACACUGGGCGCCAUGACUGGUCUAUACUGGGAGCCGUUACUGGUCCGUACUGGGAGCUGUGACUGGUGUGUACUGGAGUGUUACUGGUCUGUACUGGAGUGUAACUGGUCCGUACCGGAGUGUAACUGGUCUGUACCGGAGUGUUACUGGUCUAUACUGGAGUGUAACUGGUCUGUACCGGAGUGUUACUGGUCUAUACUGGAGUGUUACUGGUCUGUACUGGAGUGUAACUGGUCUAUACUGGAGCGUUACUGGUGUCAAUAAAGGUGUCAGUGGA